rnacentral:rRNA from 1 species
ACACAUGCAAGUCGAGGGGCAGCAUGAUUGAAGCUUGCUUCAAUUGAUGGCGACCGGCGCACGGGUGAGUAACGCGUAUCCAACCUUCCGUACACUCAGGGAUAGCCUUUCGAAAGAAAGAUUAAUACCCGAUGGUAUGAUGAGAUUGCAUGAUAGCAUCAUUAAAGAUUUAUCGGUGUACGAUGGGGAUGCGUUCCAUUAGGUAGUAGGCGGGGUAACGGCCCACCUAGCCGACGAUGGAUAGGGGUUCUGAGAGGAAGGUCCCCCACAUUGGAACUGAGACACGGUCCAAACUCCUACGGGAGGCAGCAGUGAGGAAUAUUGGUCAAUGGACGAGAGUCUGAACCAGCCAAGUAGCGUGAAGGAUGAAGGUCCUACGGAUUGUAAACUUCUUUUAUAAGGGAAUAAAACCUCCCACGUGUGGGAGCUUGUAUGUACCUUAUGAAUAAGCAUCGGCUAACUCCGUGCCAGCAGCCGCGGUAAUACGGAGGAUGCGAGCGUUAUCCGGAUUUAUUGGGUUUAAAGGGUGCGCAGACGGGUCGUUAAGUCAGCUGUGAAAGUUUGGGGCUCAACCUUAAAAUUGCAGUUGAUACUGGCGUCCUUGAGUGCGGUUGAGGUGUGCGGAAUUCGUGGUGUAGCGGUGAAAUGCUUAGAUAUCACGAAGAACUCCGAUUGCGAAGGCAGCACACUAAGCCGUAACUGACGUUCAUGCUCGAAAGUGUGGGUAUCAAACAGGAUUAGAUACCCUGGUAGUCCACACGGUAAACGAUGGAUACUCGCUGUUGGCGAUAUACAGUCAGCGGCUUAGCGAAAGCGUUAAGUAUCCCACCUGGGG